AGAGUUUGAUCAUGGCUCAGGAUGAACGCUGGCGGCGUGCCUAAUACAUGCAAGUCGAACGAGCUCUUCGGAGCUAGUGGCGGACGGGUGAGUAACACGUUGGUACCUACCCCGAAGUGGGGAAUAACUGCCCGAAAGGGUGGCUAAUACCGCAUAAUACCGUAAGGUUAAAGCAGUAAUGCGCUUCGGGAGGGGCCUGCGUCCCAUUAGCUUGUUGGUAGUGUAAUGGACUACCAAGGCGACGAUGGGUAGCUGGAUCGAGAGGUUGACCAGCCACACUGGGACUGAGAUACGGCCCAGACUCCUACGGGAGGCAGCAGUAAGGAAUCUUCCACAAUGGACGAAAGUCUGAUGGAGCAACGCCGCGUGCAGGAUGACGGCCUUCGGGUUGUAAACUGCUUUUAUAUGGGAAGAUUAUGACGGUACCAUAUGAAUAAGGACCGGCUAACUACGUGCCAGCAGCCGCGGUAAUACGUAGGGUCCAAGCGUUAUCCGGAAUCACUGGGCGUAAAGCGUGCGUAGGUGGAUGUUUAAGUGAGAUGUGAAAUCGUGUGGCUCAACCAUAUCGAUGCACCUCAUACUGGGCAUCUAGAGGACGGCAGAGGCAAGUGGAACUCGUAGUGUAGCAGUGAAAUGCGUAGAUAUUACGAAGAACACCAAUGGCGAAGGCGCUUGCUGGGCCACUCCUGACACUGAGGUACGAAAGCGUGGGGAGCGAACAGGAUUAGAUACCCCAGUAGUCC
rnacentral:rRNA from 1 species